GGAGAGGAGAGGAGAGAGGGCUUACUCCAUCGUCCACCAGACUCGAUUGCCGCCGUCUGCAGUACUGAUCGAUUUGGUUUGGAACCGGCAGCCAGAAUUGAAGGGAGCCGGAGUCUCGGCGGAUCGGAGGUUACAUGGCGGGGACGACCCGGAUGAAGGAAGAAGGUUUUCCACGGGAGAGAGCUCCACAACAACCUUGUGCAGGGACAGGCGCAGAUGCGGCAAGAGGUUCGGAGAGGUCAGUUCGUCGCCCAGACUUUACUGGUCGCUGCCCCGUUCA